GACGAACGCUGGCGGCGUGCCUAAUACAUGCAAGUAGAACGCUGAAGAGAGGAGCUUGCUCUUCUUGGAUGAGUUGCGAACGGGUGAGUAACGCGUAGGUAACCUGCCUUGUAGCGGGGGAUAACUAUUGGAAACGAUAGCUAAUACCGCAUAACAAUGGAUGACACAUGUCAUUUAUUUGAAAGGGGCAAUUGCUCCACUACAAGAUGGACCUGCGUUGUAUUAGCUAGUAGGUGAGGUAAUGGCUCACCUAGGCGACGAUACAUAGCCGACCUGAGAGGGUGAUCGGCCACACUGGGACUGAGACACGGCCCAGACUCCUACGGGAGGCAGCAGUAGGGAAUCUUCGGCAAUGGGGGCAACCCUGACCGAGCAACGCCGCGUGAGUGAAGAAGGUUGUCGGAUCGUAAAGCUCUGUUGUAAGUCAAGAACGGGUGUGAGAGUGGAAAGUUCACACUGUGACGGUAGCUGACCAGAAAGGGACGGCUAACUACGUG
rnacentral:rRNA from 1 species